rnacentral:lncRNA from 1 species
CCCGACACCGGUUUACUCACCUCCACCGGUGUUCUCGCCUCCGCCACCGGUGCUCUCUUCCCCACCACCACCAUCACCGCCACCGCCAUCUCCUUCGCCUCCACCACCUCCAGUUUACUCCCCUCCUCCACCUCCACCAGUUUACUCACCUCCACCACCCCCUCCUCCCCCACCGCCACCACCACCUGUUUAUUUUCCGCCACCACCUCCACCUUCACCACCACCACCGUCUCCCCCUCCACCCUCACCCCCACCACCUUCUCCAUCACCGCCUCCCCCUCCCUCGCCACCACCACCGGUAUUAUCGCCCCCGCCUCCAGUUUAUUGCGUCCGUUCCCCACCACCGCCACCGCCAAAUUCUCCCCCGCCUCCCAUUUAUUCUCCACCACCACCUCCAGUUCAUUCACCGCCCCCACCAAGUCCUUACUAUAGUUCACCACCGCCCCCGCCGCCACAUCAUUCACCUCCACCACCUCCCCACUCGCCACCCCCGCCUCCACCUAUCUAUCCAUACGCAUCACCGCCACCGCCACCCGUGCAUUCCCCACCACCACCUGUCCAUUCUCCACCACCUCCAUGCAUAGAACCGCCUCCUCCUUCUCCACCACCCCCAUCACCACCUCCAUGCAUAGAACCGCCUCCUCCUCCUUCUCCACCACCAUGUGUAGAAUAUUCGCCACCUCCACCAUCACCACACUCACCACCGCCACCACCAGUUCAUUACUUGCCUCCACCAUCACCAUCACCCCCACCACCACCUGUGUAUGCUUCUCCGCCACCUCCACCAUCUCUGCCUCCCCCAGUUUACUACCAUUCUCCGCCCCCACCCUCACCACCUC